rnacentral:rRNA from 1 species
GACGAACGCUGGCGGCGUGCCUAAUACAUGCAAGUAGAACGCUGAAGAGCGGAGUUUACUCUUCUUGGAUGAGUUGCGAACGGGUGAGUAACGCGUAGGUAACCUGCCUUGUAGCGGGGGAUAACUAUUGGAGACGAUAGCUAAUACCGUAUAACAAUGGAUGACAAAUGGCAUUUAUUUGAAAGGGGCAAUUGCUCCACUACAAGAUGGACCUGCGUUGUAUUAGCUAGUAGGUGAGGUAAUGGCUCACUUAGGCGAGGAUACAUAGCCGACCUGAGAGGGUGAUCGGCCACACUGGGACGGGGGCAGGGCCCAGACUCCUACGGGAGGGAGCAGUAGGAAAUCUUCGGCAAUGGGGGCAGCCCUGACCGCGCAACGCGGCGUGAGUGAAGAAGGUUGUCGGAUCGUAAAGCUCUGUUGUAGGUCAAGAACGGGUGUGAGAGUGGAAAGUUCACACAGUGACGGUAGCUUGCCAGAAAGGAACGGCUAACUACGUG